rnacentral:rRNA from 1 species
UGAAUACGAGACGCUACGGCGUCGAAGCAGUCUAUGUCAUACUUCCAAGAAAAGCUUGCACUGUCAUAAACAAAUAAUGCCUGUACCAUAACCGACACAGGUGGGUAGGUAGAGUAUACUAAGGGGCGCGAGAUAACUCUCUCUAAGGAACUCGGCAAAAUGACUCCGUAACUUCGGGAGAAGGAGUGCCUUAUUUAUAAGGUUGCAAUAACAAGAUCCAAGCAACUGUUUAUCAAAAACACAGGUCUCCGCUAAGUCGUAAGACGAUGUAUGGGGGCUGACGCCUGCCCAGUGCCAGAAGGUUAAAGAAGUUGGUUAGCAUUAGCGAAGCUGAUAACUGAAGCCCUGGUGAACGGCGGCCGUAACAAUAACGGUCCUAAGGUAGUGAAAUUCCUUGUCGGGUAAGUUCCGACCCGCACGAAAGGCGUAAUGAUUUGGAUACUGUCUCAGAGAGGGGCUCGGUGAAAUAGACUUGUCUGUGAAGAUGCGGACUACCUCACCAGGACAGAAAGACCCUAUGAAGCUUUACUGUAACUUGAAAUUGAAAUUGGACUUUAUUUGCGCAGUAUAGGUGGGAGGCAUUGAUAAUAUUCUUGCGGGAAUGUUGGAGCCAUCAGUGAGAUACCACUCUUGUAAUGUUAGAUUUCUAACUUUGGAUCAUUAUCUGGUCAAAGGACAGUUUCAGGCGGGCAGUUUGACUGGGGCGGUCGCCUCCUAAAUGGUAACGGAGGCGCACAAAGGUUUCCUCUGAACGGGUAGAAAUCGUAUCUAGAGUGUAAAGGCAUAAGGAAGCUUGACUGUGAGACCUACAAGUCGAGCAGGGACGAAAGUCGGUCUUAGUGAUCUGACGGUGCUGAGUGGAAAGGCCGUCACCCAACGGAUAAAAGUUACUCUAAGGAUAACAGGCUGAUCUCCCCCAAGAGUUCACAUCGACGGGGAGGUUUGGCACCUCGAUGUCGGCUCAUCGCAUCCUGGGGCGGUAGUACGUCCCAAGGGUUGGGCUGUUCGCCCAUGAAAGCGGUACGCGAGCUGGGUUCAGAACGUCGUGAGACAGUUCGGUCCAUAUCCGGUGUAGGCGUUAGAAUAUUGAGAGGAGCCUUCUUUAGUACGAGAGGACCGAGAAGGACAUACCUCUGGUGUACCAGUUAUCGUGCCAACGGUAAACGCUGGGUAGCUAUGUAUGGAGAGGAUAACCGCUGAAAGCAUCUAAGUGGGAAGCCCACCUCAAGAUAAGUAUUCUC